CGUAAGGGGUGCCUGCGGAGGGAUCAUUACCGAGUUUACAACUCCCAAACCCAUUGUGAACUUAUACCCAAAACGUUGCCUCGGCGGGCACAGCGGUACCCGAGCCCCCGCAAGGGAGCAAAGGCGCCCCGUCCGCCAGGGGACCAAAACUCUUCUGUAUACCCAUAGCGGCAUGUCUGAGUGGAUUUAAAAACAAAUGAAUCAAAACUUUCAACAACGGAUCUCUUGGUUCUGGCAUCGAUGAAGAACGCAGCGAAAUGCGAUACGUAAUGUGAAUUGCAGACUUCAGUGAAUCAUCGAAUCUUUGAACGCACAUUGCGCCCGCCAGUAUUCUGGCGGGCAUGCCUGUUCGAGCGUCAUUUCAACCCUCAAGCCCUGCUUGGUGUUGGGGACCGGCUCAGCGGGUGCGGGCUUCGGCCCGCCCCGUGCCGCCCCCGAAAUGGAUCGGCGGUCUCGUCGCAGCCUUCUUUGCGUAGUAACAUACCACCUCGCAACAGGAGCGCGGCGCGGCCACUGCCGUAAAACGCCCAACUUUUUAGAGUUGACCUCGAAUCAGGUAGGAAUACCCGCUGAACUUAAGCAUAUC
rnacentral:rRNA from 1 species